rnacentral:rRNA from 1 species
AUUGAACGCUGGCGGCAUGCCUUACACAUGCAAGUCGAACGGCAGCACGGGUGCUUGCACCUGGUGGCGAGUGGCGAACGGGUGAGUAAUACAUCGGAACAUGUCCUGUAGUGGGGGAUAGCCCGGCGAAAGCCGGAUUAAUACCGCAUACGAUCUACGGAUGAAAGCGGGGGACCUUCGGGCCUCGCGCUAUAGGGUUGGCCGAUGGCUGAUUAGCUAGUUGGUGGGGUAAAGGCCUACCAAGGCGACGAUCAGUAGCUGGUCUGAGAGGACGACCAGCCACACUGGGACUGAGACACGGCCCAGACUCCUACGGGAGGCAGCAGUGGGGAAUUUUGGACAAUGGGCGAAAGCCUGAUCCAGCAAUGCCGCGUGUGUGAAGAAGGCCUUCGGGUUGUAAAGCACUUUUGUCCGGAAAGAAAUCCUUGGCCCUAAUACGGUCGGGGGAUGCCGGUACCGGAAGAAUAAGCACCGGCUAACUACGUG